AGGCUACCGCUAUUGGAGCUCGAUUAAGCCAUGCGAGUCGAGAGUCUUAGGGACUCGGCGUACCGCUCAGUAACACGUGGGUAACCUGCCCUAUGCUGGGGAAUAACCUCGGGAAACUGAGAAUAAUACCCCAUAGUUCACUACGCCUGGAACGGUGAGUGGAUGAAAGCCCCGGCGGCAUAGGAUGGGCCUGCGGCGUAUCAGGUCGUAGGGGGUGUAACGUACCCUCUAGCCAUCGACGCGUACGGGUGUUGGGAGACAUAGCCCGGAGAUGGAUUCUGAGACACGAAUCCAGACCCUACGGGGUGCAGCAGGCGCGAAAACUUGGCAAUGCGAGAAAUCGUGACCAGGGAACUCCAAGUGGCUGGGGUAAGACCCAGUCUUUUCUUGACUCUUCAAAGGUCUUGGAAUAAGAGGUGGGUAAGGACGGUGCCAGCCGCCGCGGUAAUACCGGCGCCUCAAGUGGUAGUCGAUUUUAUUGGGCCUAAAACGUCCGUAGCCUGUUUGGUACAUUCGUGGGUAAAUCAACCAGCUCAACUGGUUGAAUUCUGCGAGCACGGCCAGACUUGGGACCGGGAGAGGUGUGGGGUACGCUCAGGGUAGGGGUAAAAUCCUGUCAUCCUGAGCGGACCACCUGUUGCGAAGGCGCCACACUAGAACGGAUCCGACGGUCAGGGACGAAGCCUAGGGGCACGAACCGGAUUAGAUACCCGGGUAGUCCUAGGUGUAAACGCUGUGGACUUGGUGUUGGGGAUGAUCCGAUCAUUCUCAGUGCCGAAGCGAAGGUGAUAAGUCCACUGCCUGGGGAGUACGGUCGCAAGGCUGAAACUUAAAGGAAUUGGCGGGGGAGCACCGCAACCUGAGGAUUGUGCGGUUU
rnacentral:rRNA from 1 species